rnacentral:ncRNA from 1 species
GGGCUUAUGGUGGAUACCUAGGCACCCAGAGAUGAGAAAGGGCAUUGUAAGCGACUAAAUGCUUCAGGGAGUUGAAAAUGAGCAUAGAUCUGGAGAUUCCCGAAUAGGUUAACCUUUUAACUGCUGCUUAAUCCAUGGGCAGGCAAGAGACAAGUUGGCGAACUGAAACAUCUUAGUAGCUAGAGGAAUAGAAAGAAAAAGCGAUUCCCGUAGUAGCGACGAGCGAAAUGGGAGCAUCCUAAACCAUGAAAACGGGGUUGUGGGAGAGCAUAAUAUAAGCUCUGUGUUGCUAGGUGAAGCGGUUGAGUCCUGCACCCUAGAUGGUGAGAGUCCAGUAGCCAAAAGAAUCAUUGGGUUACACUCUAACCCAAGUAGCAUGGGGCACAUGGAAUCCCAUGUGAAUUAGCAAGGACCUCCUUGCAAGGCUAAAUACUCCUGGGUGACUGAUAGCAAAGUAGUAUCGUGAGGGAAAGGUGAAAAGAAUCCCCAUCGGGGAGUGAAAUAAAACAUGAUACUGUAAUCUCCCAAGCAAUGGGAGGAAAACGAUAUCUCUGACCGCGUGCCUAUUGAAGAAUGAGCCGACGAAUUAUAGGCAGUGUCUUGGUUAAGGGAACCCACCAGAGCCAUAGUGAGAGUGAUUAUUCAUGGGGCAAUUUUCAUUGCUUAUGGAACCGAACCUGGGUGAUCUAUACAUGACCAGGAUGAAGCUUGGGUGAAACUAAGUGGAGGUCUGAACCGACUGAUGUUGAAAAAUCAAUGGAUGAGUCAUGGUUAGGGGUGAAAUGCCACUCAAACCCAGAGCUAGCUGGUUCUCCCCGAAAUGCGUUGAGGCACAACAGUUGACUGGACCAUCUAGGGGUAAAGCACUAUUUUGGUACGAGCCGCGAGAGCGGUACCGAAUUGAGGCAAACUAUGAAUACUAGAUUUCCCCAAUAAAAGGAUCGAGUGCUCUUGCGCCGAAGAUGAACAGGACUAAGCGAUCUGCUGAAGCCGUGGGAUGUAAAAAUACAUCGGUAGGGGAGAAUUUUUCCUUAUAGGGAAGCACCGACGCGAGCAGGUGUGGACGAAGCAGAAGCGAGAAUGUCGGCUUGAGUAAUGCAAACAUUGGUGAAAAUACAAUGCACUGAAAACCUAAGGGUUCCUUCGCAAGGUUCUUCCAUGGAGGGUGAGUCAGGGCCUAAGAUCAGGCCGAAAGGCGUAGUCGAUGGAAAACAGGUUAAUAUUCUUGUACUACCCCUUUUUGAUCCCAAGGGACGGAGGAUGCUAGGUUAGCCGAAAGAUGGUUAUCGGUUCAAGGACGCAAGGUGACCCUCUAUUCAUUGAUUCAAAGGUAAAAGAAGAAUCAAAUAUAGGUGUGUACAAGGUAAGGUUGGGGGUGGAUAUUCCUCAUCAUCUACUCUAGCACACAAAAAUCCAAGAUGGCUUAUCCAAACAUUAUAGGAUGCACAAAAUCAUGUAGGAGCACCCAUAUCAUCAAUGAGGGUGAGUAUACCUCCUAGGAGAUAUGUUAACCAUAUUGUAUUAGAUUCUUCCUUUUGUGAUCUUUACAAUUGUUUUGAGGAGGUGAUGUGUGAUACUUUGUUGGAUGAGUGUAAUGUUUGGGGGGUGGUUCUUUUCUGGGAGCCAGUGGUUGAUUUCGAGAUUGCAACGUGUUCAAAUUUGCAGAAGGAAAUUUUGUUUGAGUUGCAAAGGGAGCAAAAUGAUGUUGGUGAAAACACUUUCCUCAUAAAGAGG